AAUUAUUGAAAGAAAUUAGGUUAACUAGCGUGAGUUUAUACACAUGAUAUUUAAUCAUAUAGUAUUUCUAGUCACGCAGAGAUCAUAUGACAUUCUUCCUGAGAUCAAUACUUUCAUUUUCUAGUCAUCGUAUUCAUUGGAGAAGACGCUUUACAAAAAUUUCGAUAAAUUUGUGCAAAGCAUUUUCAUCAAAAGUUAAUCAUGUCCGCCGACGACGACGUUGAUAACGUUGAUGAACAAGAAUUAGACAGUGUUUUAUGUACUGAAGAAGUUACAACCGAUUGUUGAAAUUCAUAUUCCAUUGGAGUCCUACAGUGGCAGUACGGCCUCACGAACGAACGAUUUGUCUCUGAAUCGAGACAGUAAAUAUCAAUAUGCUGUCCUGUUGAAGUGCUAGAAAUGCUACGGAGGCAAUGGUUACCCCAAAGGAUUGGGGAAAAUUGAAAAAACAACACAGUUGAGAGAACGUUGCUAAAUCGAUCAGCGUACAAGAGGAAUCAAAUCAAGUUGAUGAUACCAAUUCACUCCAGGAAACAAAUCAAGUUGAUGAUGCCAAUUUACUCCAGGAAACAAAUCAUAUUUAUGGUGCCAAUUUACUCCAUGAAACAAAUCAUAUUGAUGAUGCCAAUUUACUCCAUGAAACAAAUCAUAUUGAUGAUGCCAAUUUACUCCACGAAACAAAUCAUAUUGAUGAUGCCAAUUUACUCCAUGAAACAAAUCAUAUUGAUAAUGCCAAUUUACUCCAGGAAACAAAUCCUAUUGAUGAUGCCAAUUUACUCCAGGAAACAAAUGGACUUGAAUUAAUGGACCUUGAGGUCAGCAGUCUCUUUGAGGACAGCAGGCAGAAUAUGGACUGUCAUGUUGAUUUUAUGUCGGUUCCUCCAGAACUUUGAUGACUGUAAUUUGUUAUGGCAUGUCAAAAAACAAUUUGUCUUUUUACAACCAUUGAAAUUGUUACAAUGAUCAUAAAUAUUACAUCCAUAUGCAAUUGUUUAGCAAACUCAA